AGCAGCCGCGGUAAUACGUAGGGGGCUAGCGUUAUCCGGAUUUACUGGGCGUAAAGGGUGCGUAGGCGGUCUUUCAAGUCAGGAGUGAAAGGCUACGGCUCAACCGUAGUAAGCUCUUGAAACUGGGCGACUUGAGUGCAGGAGAGGAGAGUGGAAUUCCUAGUGUAGCGGUGAAAUGCGUAGAUAUUAGGAGGAACACCAGUUGCGAAGGCGGCUC
rnacentral:rRNA from 1 species